UACGGAGGGGGCUAGCGUUGUUCGGAAUCACUGGGCGUAAAGCGCGCGUAGGCGGCUUUGUAAGUUAGAGGUGAAAGCCUGGAGCUCAACUCCAGAACUGCCUUUAAGACUGCAUCGCUAGAAUCGUGGAGAGGUGAGUGGAAUUCCGAGUGUAGAGGUGAAAUUCGUAGAUAUUCGCAAGAACACCAGUGGCGAAGGCGGCUCACUGGCCCGGUACUGACGCUGAGGUGCGAAAGCGUGGGGAGCAAACAGG
rnacentral:rRNA from 1 species